AUUGAACGCUGGCGGCAGGCCUAACACAUGCAAGUCGAACGAGAGGCGGACGGGUGAGUAAUGUCUGGGCAACUGCCUGAUGGAGGGGGAUAACUACUGGAAACGUUAGCUAAUACCGCAUACUAUCGGAUGUGCCCAGAUGGGAUUAGCUAGUAGGUGGGGUAAAGGCUAACCUAGGCGACGAUCCCUAGCUGGUCGGAGAGGAUGACAAGCCACACUGGAACUGAGACACGGCCCAGACUCCUACGGGAGGCAGCAGUGGGGAAUAUUGGGCAAUGGGCGAAACCCUGAUCCAGCCAGGCCGCGUGUAUGAAGAAGGCUUUCGGGUUGUAAAGUACUGUUGUUAGAGAAGCGGUAUCUGCAGAAUAAGCACCGGCUAACUACGUGCCAGCAGCCGCGGUAAUUC
rnacentral:rRNA from 1 species